rnacentral:rRNA from 1 species
AGAGUUUGAUCAUGGCUCAGGAUAAACGCUGGCGGCGUGGAUUAGGCAUGCAAGUCGAACGAGAACGGUUCUUUCGGGAAUUUAGUAAAGUGGCAAACGGGUGAGUAACGCGUGGAAAACCUGCCCCCGAGUUGGGGAUAACCUGUCCAACGGUGGGCUAAUACCGAAUACACUCCGGAAACCGCAUGGUAACUGGAGAAAAGGCGGCCUCUGCUUGCAAGCUGCCACUCAGGGAGGGUUCCGCGUACUAUUAGCUUGUUGGUGAGGUAACAGCUCACCAAGGCGAUGAUGGUUAGCCGGCCUUAGCGGGUGUCCGGCCACACUGGGACUGAGAUACGGCCCAGACUCCUACGGGAGGCAGC